AUUUCACUCUCCUACCCUAGCCCUUUUUGCCUCCGUCCCUCUCUCUAUGAACAUUUGCUCUCUCACUCGCUCUCUGUGUUUUUGAAGGUUUUCUCGUUGUAUAUUUCUGAUCGGUGUCUUCCCGAUCUCUGUUUCGAGGCGUUUUCUCAUCUGGGUCUGAUCGAUUUGCUGAGAGGAGAGCGAAGAAUAUGGAGAAUAUCGGUGUUGGACCAUCGUCGUUUGCCGAUUUUGCUCAGCAGAGCUUUUAUCCGUUACAGAGCGUGUGGGAUUUCGGUGAUUUAGCGGAGAGGAACUCGCUAGGGUUCAUGGAGUUGCUGGGUCUGCGUCAGGAUCUCAACCCUUCUUCCCUGUUCGAGACGGUGUCCCCUCAGGCCGCGGCCGAAGUGUAUUCUCCCAUCGCAGUGCCGUCGUCACGCGCGGCCUUAAAAGUGGAAUAUUUGUGCUCGGAAGCGGCGGUGAAUCCGCCGGCGACGCCUAACUCGUCGUCGAUCUCGUCGGUUUCAAGCGAGGCUGUAAACGAGGAGCAAGUGAAAGGGGUAUACGAAGCAGAAGAAGAAGAGGAGCAGGAGCAGAAGAGUGCUACGAAGAAGCAGUCGAAACCAAAGACGAAUCAGAAGAAACAGAGAGAGCCGAGAGUGGCGUUCAUGACAAAGAGCGAGGUUGAUCAUCUCGAAGAUGGUUACAGAUGGAGAAAGUACGGCCAAAAAGCUGUGAAAAACAGCCCUUUUCCUCGGAGUUACUACCGUUGCACCACGGCGACUUGCAACGUGAAGAAGAGGGUGGAGAGAUCAUUCACUGAUCCAAGCAUCGUGGUGACGACAUACGAGGGUCAACACACACACCCUAGUCCUCUAAUGUAUCGUCCGCCUUUCUGUACCCGAGCCGCCGGAAACUUUAUCAGCUCCGCCGCCGGCGGCGGAAGCUCCGGCCUUUCUGCAGAAAGUUCCACACUUUCACCUCAAUCUCAGCAAUUCGUUCAUUACCAACAGCAACACUUGUCUUCUUAUGGCGGUGAGUACCUCAACGGCUAUGAUCAUAUACUGAAGAAGACUCAGCUUUGUAGCAACCCGGGUGGGGCUGCAGCAGGUUUAACGGUGAAGGACCAUGGCCUUCUUGAAGAUGUCGUCCCGUCUCUUAUGUUUAAGGAUAACUAGUGUGGCAUAUAUACAUACAUAUAUAUAACGUCGUGAUUUUGGAGUGGGUAUUAGGUUAUUUGUAAUUGUUACAAGCACCAGGAGGGUCGUCUUCUUCAUAUGUAGAUCGGUGUAAAAGCAGAUACUGUACUGAUGAAUAAAGCUCUUGACUUGCGAUCUUUCUUGAAAAUGGUGUUUGGAAUGCGGGGAGGCGGAAGACGACAAGAAAGGAAUUCGGUGACUCCAUUGUCAGAGUUCUUGGCGUUGUCAGAGGGAACGUACAGUGGUUUCACUGAGAAAGCACGACAAUCAAGCAAGAUUCCGAGCAAUGUUUCUAGGGCUUCCAUUUCCCCUUAGUGGUGAAACCAUUAAUGAUAUCUCUCUUUUCUU